rnacentral:rRNA from 1 species
AGAAUCAACGCUGGCGGCGUGCCUAACACAUGCAAGUCGAACGAGAAAGUGGAGCAAUCCAUGAGUAAAGUGGCGACCGGGUGAGUAACACGUGACUAACCUACCUUCGAGUGGGGGAUAACCUCGGGAAACCGAGGCUAAUACCGCAUAACAUCGCAAGAUCAAAGCAGCAAUGCGCUGGAAGAGGGGGUCGCGGCUGAUUAGCUAGUUGGCGGGGUAAUGGCCCACCAAGGCGAAGAUCGGUAGCCGGCCUGAGAGGGCGCACGGCCACACUGGAACUGAAACACGGUCCAGACUCCUACGGGAGGCAGCAGUGGGGAAUUUUGCGCAAUGGGGGAAACCUGACGCAGCAACGCCGCGUGGAGGAUGAAGCCCCUUGGGGUGUAAACUCCUUUCGACCAAGACGAUAAUGACGGUACUGGUGGAAGAGCACCGGCUAACUCUGCGCCAGCAGCCGC